rnacentral:rRNA from 1 species
UACGUAGGUGGCAAGCGUUACUCGGAAUUACUAGGCGUAAAGCGCGUGUAGAUGGUUUGAUAAGUCGGACGUGAAAGCUCUCGGCUUAACCGGGAGAGGUCGUUCGAAACUAUCAGACUUGAGUAUGGGAGGGGAAUCCGGAAUUCCUGGUGUAGCGGUGAAAUGCGUAGAUAUCAGGAGGAAUACCGAUGGCGAAGGCAGGAUUCUGGCCCAUUGCUGACAUUGAGACGCAAUAGCUAGGGGAGCAAACAGGAUUAGAUACCCGCGUA